UGGGAUUUGGGCUGUGGUUUGGGGGAUCCCUGUGGAUCCUGUCCAGGUGGGAUCUGGGGUCACUCUGGGCUGGGAUUUGGGCUGUGGCAGCCUCCGGCCCCCCCGGGAAGGAGCCGGGGGUCCCACCCGGCCCUGCUGCUGGGAGCAAGGGAGGGGCACCUGGGGAUCUGCCCGAGCACCUGGAGCACCCCCACCUGCCCGUAUGAGCGGCCUGGGGCCCUCUGGCUCCGUUAUUUAUUCCAUGGAUUGAUUAUUUAAUGAGUGGGGGCUGCUCUGGACUGAGGAUUUACCUGCGCUCACCUGAGCUGCAGCCUCCUGGAUCCUCCCUGUUCUCCAUCCCACCUGGCAGAGAUCACCUGUGCCAGGACUCACCUGGAGCCUCCUGGAUCCCAUGGCAGCUCUGUCCCCCCUCCCCCGGCUGCCUCCCUUUCCUUGUUUUUAAGGGAAAAAGUCCUUUUUUCCCUAAUUGUUGGUUUAAUGAACGGUUCACCUGGGGCUGGUGAUGCUCCCACUCACCUGCAGCUGGGGUGGAUUGGGAAACACCUGGAACUGGCACACGAGACCCAAGACUGGAAUCCCCAGACUCACCUGGAAAAUUUUGGAGGGGGUUCGAAGCAACUUCACCUCCUCGUUGGCUCCUGCAUCACCUGGCGUUGCUCACCUGUACCUGUCAGAACCUUCUGGAACGUCCAUGCACCUGCUGGGGGUUGGAGUCACCCUUCCAAGGACCAGGGUUUGGGAAUGUGGGGUUCAGGAAUGUCCCUGUCCCUACCUGUGAUCCCAUUCCAGGUGGGCUCUGUGCAUCCAGGUGCUCCUGGACCAAUUCCAGCAGCAUCAGAGCCCUGCAGGUGUGCACAGGUGUCCCUCAGUGUCACCUGGCCCUGCCCUACCUGAUCCCUGAGCUCUCAGUUGGCUCCUUGCCCGUCCCAGGUGAGCUCCAUCCAUCCAGGUGUUUCCCAAAAAAGCUGUUCCAGCCCUCAGGAUGCAUCCCAGGAUGCCAGCAGGGCCAGAGCCCUGCAGGUGUGCACAGGUAUCCCGUGGAUGUGCUGCUCCUGGAGCACCUGGAGUUCCCUGUGCUGCCCCUCAGGUGCUUCCUGCUCACCUGUGCUGCUUCUGCCACCUCCACUGGCAUCGAACUGCUCGGACUGGGGCGGCUCCAGGUUCUCCAGGUGUGGAGUCACCUGGACUGGGAUUCAUGGAAAACUCACCUGUGCUUCAGACCUUCCUCUGGGAUCUGCUUUGGGCUGAAAGUUCUCAUUUCUGGGGCUCUUCCUUCUUUUCUGGCCCCAGCCAGGUGAGAUCAACCUGGGCCAGGAGCAGUUCCAGCCUGGGAGGAGGGAAAAUCGGGGUGUGGGGGUGGGGCUGCCCAGGUUGGGUCACUGCCCUUGGGAUUUGCUCACCUGGGCGCUCCUGGAUUUUGGGGUCUGCUCACCUGGUUGGGUGUGUGCCCCAAAUCCUGCACUCUGCUCACCUGGACCCUACAGAUUGUGGGAUCUGCUCACCUGGACACUCACAGUCUGGAUCUGCUCACCUGGUGGGACCUGCUCACCUGGAUCUGCUCACCUGGACCCUCCCAGACCCCGGAUCUGCUCACCUGGUGGGACCUGCUCACCUGGAUCUGCUCACCUGGAUCUGCUCACCUGGACACUCACAGUCUGGAUCUGCUCACCUGGUGGGACCUGCUCACCUGGAUCUGCUCACCUGGCCCCUCCCAGACGCCAGGCCUGCUCACCUGCCGGGCUCUGUGCCUUCAGGACCUGCUCACCUGGCUGCCCCAGCCCACCUGCUGCCCCCCCUUUACCUGCCUGUUGAUUUUUGAUUUCCCCCUCGGCUUUUCCAGCAUUUUCCCACCCUGGGCUCUGCCCCCCUCGCAGUUUUGGGGGGUUGAGGGUCCCCAGGUGCUCCUGGGGGUCACCUGCCCCCCGUGGGGGGUUAAAAAGGGGGUUCAGGAGGGGUUUGUGGGGGCUCAGAGUGGGGCUUUUAGGGGGCGUUGAGGGAUUUUUUUGGGGGGUUGAAAGGGGCUCAGAGGGAUUUUUAUGGGGUUCAGGAGGAGUUAAAGGUUUAAAAAAGGCCCCCCCCCCCCCCCCCCCCCCCCCCCCCCCCCCCCCCCCCCCCCCCCCC
rnacentral:lncRNA from 12 species